UACGUAGGGUGCAAGCGUUGUCCGGAAUUAUUGGGCGUAAAGAGCUCGUAGGCGGUUUGUCGCGUCUGCUGUGAAAAUCCAGGGCUUAACCCUGGACCUGCAGUGGGUACGGGCAGACUGGAGUGCGGUAGGGGGAGAUCGGAAUUCCUGGUGUAGCGGUGAAAUGCGCAGAUAUCGGGAGGAACACCGGUGGCGAAGGCGGAUCUCUGGGCCGUAACUGACGCUGAGGAGCGAAAGCAUGGGGAGCGAACAGG
rnacentral:rRNA from 1 species